rnacentral:tRNA from 1 species
CAGGGAGACAACAAAAUGUUUAAUAUUAUUAUUUUGUCACCUUAGGUCGAUCGGGAUCUCACGUUCUUAAUUUGUUAAGAAUUUCAUUUCCUAAGUUUUUCUAGGUCACACCCAUUAUUUUUCCUGGGCCAUUAGCUCAGGUGGUUAGAGCGCACCCCUGAUAAGGGUGAGGUCCCUGGUUCAAGUCCAGGAUGGCCCAUAUCUCUAUGUUGGGGGUAUAGCUCAGUUGGUAGAGCGCCUGCUUUGCAAGCAGGAUGUCAGCGGUUCGAGUCCGCUUACCUCCACUGAUUACCACCUCUUCCAUAACUGGUAGAAAGGAAAUGUUUUGAGUUGUGAUUAUUAUUCUGAACGAAUCUAGCUUCCUAAUGAAAUCAUUAAGAUGCUGGACUCAUUGAAUUAAUUUCAUUGUUUUCAGAGAACCUUGACAACUGCAUANAUUUUUUUAAAGACAAUAACCAUCUUUAAUGAUGCAGAUUUAUUAUUUGUGCGAAUGCAUUAAUAACAAUUCUAUUAAUCUGAUGCUUCAAUUUUUGAAGUUAUU